rnacentral:rRNA from 1 species
GAUGAACGCUGGCGGCGUGCCUAAUACAUGCAAGUCGAGCGAACGGACGAGAAGCUUGCUUCUCUGAUGUUAGCGGCGGACGGGUGAGUAACACGUGGAUAACCUACCUAAAAGACUGGGAUAACUUCGGGAAACCGGAGCUAAUACCGGAUAAUAUUUUGAACCGCAUGGUUCAAAAGUGAAAGACGGUCUUGCUGUCACUUAUAGAUGGAUCCGCGCUGCAUUAGCUAGUUGGUAAGGUAACGGCUUACCAAGGCAACGAUGCAUAGCCGACCUGAGAGGGUGAUCGGCCACACUGGAACUGAGACACGGUCCAGACUCCUACGGGAGGCAGCAGUAGGGAAUCUUCCGCAAUGGGCGAAAGCCUGACGGAGCAACGCCGCGUGGGUGAAGAAGGUCUUCGGGUCGUAAAACCCUGUUAUUAGGGAAGAACAUAUGUGUAAGUAACUGUGCACAUCUUGGCGGUACCUAAUCAGAAAGCCACGGCUAACUACGUG